AACGAUUUCAACAUGGGCCGUUGAGAUGUAUGUAGAUCUAUAUAAAAGAAACAUUUCAGAAUCCUGAGGGCGAUACUUAGUGUCACCAACAUCGAAGAGUGUGUAUCUGUUAUUGACUUGAGUGGAUAUUAAUUCCAAAUUAACCAAGAUCAUCGCGCAAAACAGAAAUAUAUAAAAAAUAAGGUCUGUCUUCGAUACAUCUCAUUUAUAUAUCAAGUUGUAUUUCAAAGGAUCAAAGGGAUAGAAUGGCCUGGACAUUCUUUGGGUUACUCACUUUAUGCUUCUUGACUUCUGCAGCUCGAGCAGAGCUUUCAGAAGAGGCUAAAAUUGGAUUAGGCGUCGGUUUGGGAGUAGGAGUGCCAGUUGUAGUCGCUAUAGUUGUGGUCAUAUAUUGCUGCUGCUGUGGGAGGUAUAGCGAAGCACACAACCAAAAGAGAAGCAUGUGUUGUAACCAGAGCUAGCAGAAUUAAAAUGUUACAAUGACA